UGAUAAAAAUUUAUCCAUUUGUACUGUUAAAAAUUGACGUGUAAUAACAGACAGUGACACGUGACUAACCACAUGUACCUCAUGUUGAUGUAAAAGAACUAGUUUUAAACAAUAGAAAUGAAUGGAAUUUUUACA
rfam:Gossypium hirsutum cultivar TM-1 chromosome 13, whole genome shotgun sequence